rnacentral:lncRNA from 1 species
GAUCGAGAUCUACACAAACCUAGCCAUUUAAUUCUCUCUUCUCGUCUGGUACUGGACCAUCACCCAACAUUUUUUAUCUCUUGCCUGCCGGUCCCCAGCAAUAGCUGGACUGAAAGAGCUGCCAGGUAAUUAAGGUUGGCCAUGUCCUGAAGAGGAUUCGAUUCCAUUCCACCUAAUUAUUUGCUAACAUAAUAUAUGGUGGUGCUUUUGGCUCACAACCAAAUUGGAAUUGGAGUUUAAAUCAAGAUGAAUUGGAAUA